AACCAAGCCUCACGCUGACCAAGUGCCAGGCCUCACUGAAGCUGACCUCCGCGUUAACCCUGGACACAAGCCGAGCAGGAAGGAUAAUGCCGGCUUGACAACUCCACUGGUUUCUGCUCCCACUGGCCCUACCUCUGUUAGAGGUGUUCGCCAGGCACCCCAUGCGGUCACCAGCAGACAGCCGCUUUCUGCACAAGUUCCAAGAUGGACUCACAGCAGUCCCCGCCAGCCAUGACGCUGAGAUGGGUGUACACCCAGCUCUGGAGGAACCCAACCGCCUGUGGUCUCUCCACAACGGCUGCAAAAUACUAUUCUCCGCUGUAACCAACCUCCAGGUCACAGCCACAGGACUUCCCACGGACUUCCCCUGCUCUUAAAGCAAACUGCAGAACCAAGCGUGGACUUCUGCUCCUGAGGGGGACGGAAGGACAGUCCCCUGCGGUCAUCUCUAUAGGAGAUGGGGGCCAUGGGUGGGAGAGAAACUCCCUGUUGCACUUUGUAGCCCUCAGUAUGAUUAAAGUGUUUACCAUGUACAUAAAUUAUGCUUUUUAAGUUCACAUGUCUUAUAUACUUUUACGUUACUUUUUAAAAUUAAAAGACAGUUAACUUUUAAGAAUAAA
rnacentral:lncRNA from 1 species